rnacentral:lncRNA from 1 species
ACAGAGAAGGUCUUGUGGGGGAUGUCAAGGCUGGAGGCCGCCUGGGGCAAAGGGAUCGUGAGAUGCUAGAUUUCUCAAUCCUUGUUGAACCACGGAGGGGAGUCAGCAGAACUGCCACCUUGGACUUCCAGAGAGCAAACUCGAACCUCUUUAGGACCAUGGUUGAGAGGGUCCCUUGGGAAGUACUUUUGGAGGGCGUGGGAGCCCAGGAAGGCUGGCAAUACUUUCCAGAAGUAAUUUUAAAGGUGCAGGAGCUGACCAUCCCCAGGUCAUGGAAGAUGAGCUGAUGGGCAAGGAGGCUGGACUGGCUGAACAGAGACCUUCCACUGGAACUCAAGAGCAAAAUGAAAGAUUAUGGUCUGUGGAAGAGUGGGCAAGCUACUUAUGAUGAUUACAGAGAGAAUCCCUCGAGGAGCGCUGACGGUGCCUCUGACACCCGACGCCAUUUUCCCUGAAGCGACUGUGCCGCCACCGGACCCCGCCUGGAUGCAGCCCACCAUCCGCGGACCGAUGCCGGUACCACCCCAAGCCCUCCCUGUCCCCACUGCCACCUACCUGGCGCCUCAGGCCUCUGUCUGGCCUGGGGUACCAGGUGUCUGGGGACAGGCAGCGCAGCUCCCCCCUGGGGGGCUGCCCCCAACUGGGGCUCAACUGCCACCUGGGGGCCUGCCCCCAACUCUGGGGCUGCACUUACCGCUGCUGCAGCUGCUACCUGGGGGGCUGCACCCAGCUAGGGCUC